GGCGAUCAGAUACCGCCCUAGUUCUGACCGUAAACGAUGCCAACUAGCGAUCUGUCGGCGGUGGCCGCAAGGCAAUGCCCCGAUAGGGAGCUUCCCGGAAACGAAAGUCUUCCGGUUCCGGGGGAAGUAUGGUUGCAAAGCUGAAACUUAAAGGAAUUGACGGAAGGGCACCACCAGGAGUGGAGCCUGCGGCUUAAUUUGACUCAACACGGGAAACCUUACCCGGGCACGACACCGUGGGGAUUGACAAACUGAAGCUCUUUCAUGAUUCGGUGGUUGGUGGUGCAUGGCCGUUCUUAGUUCGUGGAGUGAUCUGUCUGGUUUAUUCCGAUAACGAGCGAGACUCUAGUCUGCUAAAUAGUUGGCGCGCACAAUGCGACGCGACUUCUUAGAGGGAUGUCCGGUUCUCAGCCGGAAGAAACGGAGCAAUAACAGGUCUGUGAUGCCCUUAGAUGUCCGGGGCUGCACGCGCGCUACACUGGCAAAAUCAGCGUGUGAAUCUGCCUCGAGAGGGGUGGACAAUCCUUUGAAAAUUUGCCGUGAUUGGGAUCGGAGAUUGCAAUUAUUCUCCGUGAACGAGGAAUUCCAAGUAAGUGCGAGUCAUUAACUUGCGUUGAUUACGUCCCUGCCCUUUGUA
rnacentral:rRNA from 1 species